AGCGAACGCUGGCGGCAGGCCUAACACAUGCAAGUCGAGCGCCCAGCAAUGGGAGCGGCAGACGGGUGAGUAACACGUGGGAAUCUACCCAUCCCUACGGAACAACUCCGGGAAACUGGAGCUAAUACCGUAUACGCCCUUUGGGGGCAAGAUUUAUCGGGGAUGGAUGAGCCCGCGUCGGAUUAGCUAGUUGGUGGGGUAAAGGCCUACCAAGGCGACGAUCCGUAGCUGGUCUGAGAGGAUGAUCAGCCACACUGGGACUGAGACACGGCCCAGACUCCUACGGGAGGCAGCAGUGGGGAAUAUUGGACAAUAGGCGCAAGCCUGAUCCAGCCAUGCCGCGUGAGUGAUGAAGGCCUUAGGGUUGUAAAGCUCUUUCGCCAGGGACGAUAAUGACGGUACCUGGAUAAGAAGCCCCGGCUAACUUCGUGCCAGCCGCCGCGGUAACAC
rnacentral:rRNA from 1 species